CCUGAGACGGAGAGGAAAGCCUUACGUUUUACCUUAAGGUUUUAUUUGGAUUUAUUUACUAUAGCAACUUUUGUGCCGAGUAGAAUUAACAUCCCGCUAGAGCCUGGGCUGGUACCAGAUUACUCUUCACCUUGAUUCAGUUCCAGAAAAAUGCCUCAACAACUUCUUGAAGGGAUGUCCAGCAGGAAACGAAGACCUAACUGGACAGACCAAGAGUGUCUCCUUCUUGCCCAGUUAAUGCAGGAGAAGAAAGACAUAAUCAGAGGGAAGUGCAGUACUGGAAUAUCUAUACAAGACAAAAGACAAGCCUGGGAGGAAAUAGCCCAAGCCAUCAAUAAUGCCUUUCCACAGAUUCAGCGUACAGUUUCUGACUGCAACAAAAAGUGGGAAAAUCUGCUAGCAAAGUCGAGGGAGGAGAUCAAAAGACAGAAAAGGCAAGCGGGUACAGAUGAAGGCCUGUCCCUUGAAGAGUUCAGCACUGUGACCCAAUUAGUGAUUUCUGUGAUGAACCUCUCAGACAUGCUGCAACAAGAUCGAGAAGACUGUUCAUUGUCAGAGUUGGUAGAAACUCAACAAAACAGCUAUGAUAAAGAUGGAAAUGACCACACAACCGAUGAAAGAUUAACAAACAAACGUCCACUGACAGAGCAUGAGCUCCUUACAUAUCCAGAUCCAUCCACCUCUCCAGGAGAACAAAAAAUGAUUUUCAGUAACAUUCCCAAAUCACUUGCAAUACAAUUCAGUACUCCCCGUGCUACCAUCUUUACUGCCUCUGGAGAACACUUGGAUACUCCCUGCUCCACUUCUCCAACGUCAAUGCACUGCGCAACUUUGCAAGAGCGAAUGGAUUUGGAAAUGUCUGUGCUGAGAAGACAAGAGGCUGUCCUCAAGCUUCAAGAGGAAUAUUACACACUAAAAAUCAAGCUGAUGAAAAAACAAAUGGAAGAGCCACAUCAAAAUGACUAAAGUAGUUGUAGAAAACUCUGUGCUCUACCUGUUUGGGAUGUUACAGUUAGUGUUAUAAAUUGUCAGUUUUACGUUUGAAAUGUGUAAUUUUUCUUUUUGUAUAACGGAGAGUCAAACACUAAAUACAUCACAUUUAUUCCAUAUUCUCCUAUUGUGAAACACUGAUCAGGUUUGUUCUGUCACGCUAAGUAAAAAUCAUCUUCAUGUUACCUGGUCAGUUGGCAAGUGACAUUUUCCUUAAAAACAACAAGCAGGUAAGCUGAGGAUGUAUUUUAUAGACUGAAUUAUGUGUUGGGUUGUUUCCAAAUGAAUUCCCUUUUCAAAGCCUUGCAUUCAGAGACUGUGUCACUUUAAAAGUAAAAACAUUGCUUUGCCACACUAUGACAAGAUGAUAUCUGCACAUCAUUACAAACCAAACCUUAUUGAAACGGUUAUUUUAUGUAUGCCAGAAAUAUUAUUGUUCUGUAACAACAAAAAUUCUAUUUGAGGUUUGUAAUGCCUGUGAUGGUGAGCUACAUUGUCAAUUACUGUCAAAUCUUUGUGCAAAAAAAAUUUCUGUGUUGUCUGUUUGUCAAUUUGUAGCAUGAAAAAUAAGAUACAUGAUGAGAUUCAUUUCUGCCUUUCUUCCUUCCUGCAUUUUGUUGUCUAUUACAGUGAAAGUCAAGGGUUAGUCAUCAUGUUUGUCGCCACACAGGAGUCUCAUACUGAAAAAUAGAAAAAUUACUGCAAAAUAGUAUAAUGUAAACUGUACCGAAGUAUAUUGCCUUUGCUUUAAACUUUGCCUUUAUGGCCAUAUCUAGAGGGGAAUUCAGGUCUUGUUCUAAAUCAUUUCUUGCUUUGAAUACAUUUAUAGUUGUGGACUGGAAACACUGACCAGCUUUGAUGAUAGCUUAUUUCAUUCAUCAGGUAUUGAUAUAUAAUAUGAGUUAGGCAGCCACUAAGCUAUCCUUCAUCUUGCAUUAUUGUAUUGUAUGUACAUGAAUACACAUUAACAUAUAAUGCAUCAUGCCACACGCAGUAACUGGAAUUUCAAAUGCUAAAUUCUGAAAUUCUUGAAAUUGAUUUAUAUUCUCUAGGAAGUAUAAUUUGUUUUUCCAAUUCAUAUGUAUAGUUUUACACUGUGAGAAUUUUUGUUUAUUUGCCGAUUCAUGCCAUUUAUUCUUAAGUGCAAAUUUGGAAGCUGUAAAUGUUUGACAUAUACCAAUAAACAUAUUUAUGAAAGUUGAACUUGAUCAUGCCAGUGUAAGUAAAGCUAAAAUAAUGUCCUGUCUAGACAAAUGUAGUAAUUUGUGCAUAAUAUUUCUCAUAAAUCUGUUUAUUUGUAAAUGACUGGGGUUGGCACCCAGAUGUAAGCAGUGAGGCCCAGGGUGUUGAAUAAAAGUCUGU